rnacentral:misc_RNA from 1 species
AGCAUGUAGAGUACAAAAUGAAUCAGGAACUGAAGAGGUUAUAUUCUGGGUGAGUCUUGUCCAAAAGCAGCUUCAACGAGCUAUAGAUCGAGAGAGAAUAUGGUCCAGACUCACCACAAGUGAGAGUAUCGAGGUUCUGGAAAAGGAUCUGGCCAUAUUUGGUUUCUUUAUUGCUUUGGGAAGAAGCACAAAGGCUUUUCUUUCUGAAAAUGGAUUUGAUACUCUUGACGAGCCAAUUGAAGAAUUAAUUAGGUAUCUAAUUGGGGGCAGUGUACUGUAUUAUCCUCAACUUGCAUCAAUAAGUUCUUAUCAACUGUACGUGGAGGUUGUGUGUGAAGAGCUAGACUGGCUUCCUUUUUAUCCAGGCAUUACUGCUAAUUUUAUCCGUAAUACUGGGCACAAAAGUAAACAAGAAGUUCCUCCAAAUUUAGAAGCCAUUCCACUAGUAUUAGACGUGUGCUCUUACUGGAUCCAGAGUUUCAUUAAAUAUAGUAAAUGGCUGGAGAACCCUUCUCAUGUCAAGGCAGCAAGAUUCCUUUCAACUGGGCACAACAAGCUUAAGAAGUGCAGAGAGGAUCUCGGAAUUGAGAAGACUCGCGUGGGAGCUUAUUCACAGAUCAAGAAAGAAACAGAUUCCUUUGAUAAGGCACUGGAGAGUGUCGAAGAGGCUUUGGUAAGGCUAGAGGUAUUGCUUCAAGAACUGCAUAUGUCAAGUGCUAGUUCACAGAAGGAGCACUUGAAAGCUGCAUGUUCUGACCUUGAAAGGAUUCGUAGAAUUAAAAAAGAGGCUGAAUUUCUUGAGGUUUCAUUUAGAACGAAGGCAGCUUUCCUACAGCAGGAGGAAGAUGCUACUAUGUCUACAUCAUCAAGUGGGGACAAGCAACAGUUCUCUAAACGCAAGGACAACAAGGAUGGUCAAAAUAGGAGUGGGAAUAACAGGAUACAGGGAUUAUGGAGCUUCGUUGGUCGUCGGCCUAGCAAAUCAGCAGACCAGGCAUCAUCGACUCCUAAUGAGAUUAGUGAUGAUGGCUCUAAAGAACUUUCAGAGAGUACAGGCGUUAUGGAUUCAAAGUCAACUGAAGUUCGAAGGUUUGAACUAUUAAGGAGUGAGCUAAUGGAACUGGAGAAGCGGGUUCAAAGAAGUGCUGAUCAAUAUGAGUAUGAGGAGGAGGAAAGUCAGAAGGUGGAUCGCACUUCCACGCAUCCUGCAGGAGCUGAAAGAACUCAAUUGGUUCUUCAGAAGAAAAAGGAGAGUGUUAUUGAGAAAUCCUUAGACAAACUGAAAGAAACUAGCACGGAUGUUUGGCAAGGAACUCAGCUUCUCGCUAUCGAUGUUGCUGCAGCUUUAGGGCUACUUCGGAGGUCCAUAGUAGGGGAUGAGUUGACAGAAAAAGAGAAACAAGCAUUGCGGAGAACUUUAACUGACUUGGCAUCAGUUGUACCUAUUGGAUUUCUUAUGCUUCUCCCUGUUACAGCAGUUGGGCAUGCUGCUAUGUUGGCUGGAAUUCGAAGAUACAUGCCAUCUCUGAUACCUUCUACAUAUGGACCAGACAGAUUAGCCCUCCUAAGGCAGCUUGAGAAAGUCAAGGAAAUGGGAACUGAGGUGAAUCCAACUGAAAAGGCUGAUGAAUAGCCCAGGUUAAAGCAUACGAAAACAGCUAUUCAUAUAGUUCCACCGUCAAAUUCAUUUCAACUUGGUUUUAUAUCCAUUCAACAGUAGAUAGGCGUAAAGAAGUUCAUUCCAAGAGUCUGGCACUCCCGGUAGGCACCAGUGGCUGCAGUCUUGUGGCGCACCAGCCGGGGUGCCAGGUUCACGAUAUUCUGAAGGGUGACCAUCUUUCCUGAACUCACUUAGAUAUGUGAUGUUUAGGAAGGUCAUGUUUCUUCUUGUAUUUUGCAUUUUCUCAACUACCUCAGAAAUGAAUAUGUUGUUGGUUGGCUCUUUCUCCAGCUUAGUAUAGUCUGUUUCCGG